AGAACUAAUAAUUUCGAAGUAGGGAAUGAUAAGGUAACGCUUUGAAACCUACUCUUUAAUACUCCGACUGGCAUUAUAAAGGGAAACCUUAAAUGUCAGAAGCUCGGUGAAGUCGGCAGAAGUCGACCUAAGUAGAAGAAAUAAUUAAGUAUGAUUGGUACAAAAGUGGUCAGAACCCGCCUGUCAAAAAGAUUAGAGUAUGAAAUAUGGUUGAUGAUAUGCCGGAAGUCCAUAAA
rnacentral:ncRNA from 1 species